UUACGGCCAUAUCACGUCGAAACAUUGGUUCCCGUACGAUCACCGAUGUUAAGCAACGUCCAGCUUCGUCAGUCUCUCGAUGGGUGACCGCUUUGGAAUACCAGCUGCUGUAAG